UACGUAGGGUGCAAGCGUUGUUCGGAUUUACUGGGCGUAAAGCGCGCGUAGGCGGCUGGAUAAGUUGGGUGUGAAAGCCCGCGGCUUAACCGAGGUACCGCAUCUAAAACUGUUUGGCUCGAGUCUGGGAGAGGAGAGCGGAAUUCCGAGUGUAGCGGUGAAAUGCGUAGAUAUUGGGAGGAACACCAGUGGCGAAGGCGGCUCUCUGGACUAGUACUGACGCUGAGGUGCGAAAGCUUGGGGAGCGAACGGG
rnacentral:rRNA from 1 species